rnacentral:rRNA from 1 species
UACGAAGGGGGCUAGCGUUGUUCGGAGUUACUGGGCGUAAAGGGCGCGUAGGCGGCGCAUCAAGUCAGGCGUGAAAGCCCUGGGCUCAACCCGGGAAUUGCGCUUGAGACUGGUGUGCUUGAGUACGGGAGAGGAUAGUGGAAUUCCCAGUGUAGAGGUGAAAUUCGUAGAUAUUGGGAAGAACACCAGUGGCGAAGGCGGCUAUCUGGACCGUAACUGACGCUGAGGCGCGAAAGCGUGGGGAGCGAACAGG